CCUCAAACUAUGGAAGUAUGGUGAACUCUCACGGUACACCACACCUCUCCCCAGCAGGUUCGUAUGGUGAACACUCACAGUACACCACACCUCUAACCAGCAGGUUCGUAUGGUGAACACUCACAGUACACCACACCUCUCCCCAGCAGGAGGUUUGCUGGGAGAAAGUAUGGUGAACACUCACGGUACACCAUAUCCCAUAUAGGAGCAAA